rnacentral:rRNA from 1 species
UACAGAGGUCUCAAGCGUUGUUCGGAUUCAUUGGGCGUAAAGGGUGCGUAGGCGGCGCGGUAAGUCGGGUGUGAAAUUUCGAGGCUUAACUUCGAAACUGCAUUCGAUACUGCCGUGCUUGAGGACUGGAGAGGAGACUGGAAUUUAUGGUGUAGCAGUGAAAUGCGUAGAGAUCAUGAGGAAGACCAGUGGCGAAGGCGGGUCUCUGGACAGUUCCUGACACUGAGACACGAAGGCCAGGGGAGCAAACGGG